rnacentral:rRNA from 1 species
GAUUUCUGGUCUAGUAUCACUUGACCCGUCAUGGUCACAUGAUUGUGUGUCGAUGUGUACUUACCAUCCUUCUAGAACAUUUUUUAUCAUUCUUUAUUGAAUGUAUGAAAAAUUGUACUAGAUCUUUUACUUUGAAAAAAUUAGAGUGUUUCAAGCAGGCUUUAUGCUAUGAAUACAUUAGCAUGGAAUAAUAAUUUAGGACUUCGGUUCUAUUUUGUUGGUUUCUAGGACUGAAGUAAUGAUUGAUAGGGAUAGUUGGGGGUGCUAGUAUUCAGCGGCCAGAGGUGAAAUUCUCGGAUUCGCUGAAGACUAACUUAUGCGAAAGCAUU